GACGAACGCUGGCGGCGUGCUUAACACAUGCAAGUCGAGCGGUAAGGCCUUUCGGGGUCCACGAGCGGCGAACGGGUGAGUAACACGUGGGUGAUCUGCCCUGCACUUCGGGAUAAGCCUGGGAAACUGGGUCUAAUACCGGAUAUGACCUCCUAUCGCAUGGUGGGUGGUGGAAAGAUUUAUCGGUGCAGGAUGGGCCCGCGGCCUAUCAGCUUGUUGGUGGGGUAAUGGCCUACCAAGGCGACGACGGGUAGCCGACCUGAGAGGGUGACCGGCCACACUGGGACUGAGACACGGCCCAGACUCCUACGGGAGGCAGCAGUGGGGAAUAUUGCACAAUGGGCGAAAGCCUGAUGCAGCGACGCCGCGUGAGGGAUGACGGCCUUCGGGUUGUAAACCUCUUUCAGCAGGGACGAAGCGCAAGUGACGGUACCUGCAGAAGAAGCACCGGCUAACUACGUG
rnacentral:rRNA from 1 species